AACGCACCUUGCACCCUUUGGUAUUCCGAAGGGUAUGCCUGUUUGAGUGUCAUUAAUAUCUCAACUUCAAAAAUGUUUAUUGUUUUUGAAGCUUGGACUUUGGAGGUUUUGUUGCAGGCAAUUAACAUUGUCAGCUCCUCUUAAAUGCAUUAGCGGAACUUUGUUAAGGACCAGCUUUGGUUUGAUAAAUCCUAUCUAUGCCGUCGCUGUGGACUUUGUGUUAUGUUCAGCUUCUAAUGGUCUUCGGACUGUCUCUUUAUUGAGGCAUACACUUUUAAGCUUGACCUCAAAUCAGGUAGGACUACCCGCUGAACUUAA
rnacentral:misc_RNA from 1 species